rnacentral:miRNA from 14 species
GUGUGUGUGUGUGUGUGUGUGUGUUUGUGUGUGUGUGUGUGUGUGUGUGUGUGUGUGUGUGNCACACACACACACACACACACACACACACACAGACACACACACACACA